rnacentral:misc_RNA from 1 species
GUGAGUCAUCGAAUCUUUGAACGCACAUUGCGCCCCGUGGUAUUCCGCGGGGCAUGCCUGUUCGAGCGUCAUUUCACCACUCAAGCCUCGCUUGGUAUUGGGCGACGCGGUCCGCCGCGCGCCUCAAAUCGACCGGCUGGGUCGAUCGCACCCUCAGCGUUGUGGAAACUAUUCGCAAGAGGAGUCUGUGAUCGGUCACGCCGUGAAACAAACCAAUUUUCAAUGGUUGACCUCGGAUCAGGUAGGGAUACCCGCUGAACUUAAGCAUAUCAAUAAGCGGAGGA